UGAAUUCAUAUUGUCGAGUCAUAACCUCAAUAUCUUCAGUCUUGUAAUUGUGGACACAUUUACUGAAGCAACGAUGCUUUUAGGUGGUGGCAUUGUUCUGACUUUCUUUUCAUAUGUUUAUGGCCAGUCUCUGACCUCCUCUGGUCCAGUGGUGAAGAGACCUGGAGAGGCAGUCACUCUGUCCUGCACUGUGUCUGGGUUUUCCAUGAGCAGCUACUACAUGUCCUGGAUCCGUCAGAAACCAGGAAAGGGACUGGAGUGGAUUGGGUAUAUUGAUACAGGCACUAGCACAACAUUUGCCCAGUCUCUCCAGGGUCAGUUCUCCAUCACCAAAGACACCAACACUAACACACUGCACUUACAAGUGAAAAGCCUGAAAGCUGAGGACCGGCUGUUUAUUACUGUGCACGAAGGACACAGUCACACAAGGGCCUGCAGACCUGUACAAAAACAUCUCUGA